GACGAACGCUGGCGGCGUGCUUAACACAUGCAAGUCGAACGGAAAGGCCCUGCUUUUGUGGGGUGCUCGAGUGGCGAACGGGUGAGUAACACGUGAGUAACCUGCCCUUGACUUUCGGAUAACUUCAGGAAACUGGGGCUAAUACCGGAUCGGAGCUCCUGCUGCAUGGUGGGCGUUGGAAAGUUUCUGCGGUUGGGGAUGGACUCGCGGCUUAUCAGCUUGUUGGUGGGGUAGUGGCUUACCAAGGCUUUGACGGGUAGCCGGCCUGAGAGGGGGACCGGGGACAUGGGGACUGAGAGAGGGAGCAGACGCGUACGGGAGGCAGCAGGGGGGAAUAUUGCACAAUGGGCGGAAGCCGGAGGCAGCAACGCCGCGUGCGGGAUGACGGCCUUCGGGUUGAAAACAGCUUUCGCCUGUGACGAAGCGUGAGUGACGGUAAUGGGUAAAGAAGCACCGGCUAACUACGUG
rnacentral:rRNA from 1 species